GAGGAUAUAGCUCAAGUGGUAGAGCACAUGCUUAGCAUGCAUAAGGUCAUGGGUUCAACCCCAGUACCUCCA
rnacentral:tRNA from 1 species